rnacentral:miRNA from 1 species
ACGUGUGCGGGGGAGGGUGUGGGUGUGGGGGAGGAUGUCAGAGGCUGUCAAGGUGAUGGGCAGGCGUGUGCCAGCUUGCAGGGGGUG